rnacentral:rRNA from 1 species
GACGAACGCUGGCGGCGUGCUUAACACAUGCAAGUCGAACGGUGAAGCGCCUUCCUUUUUGGUGGGUGUGGAUGAGUGGCGAACGGGUGAGUAACACGUGAGUAGCCUGCCCCCUUCUUCUGGAUAACCGCAUGAAAGUGUGGCUAAUACGGGAUAUUCUGGGUCUGUCGCAUGAUGGGUCCGGGAAAGAUAUUGUUUCGGAGGGGGAUGGGCUCGCGGCCUAUCAGCUUGUUGGUGGGGUGAUGGCCUACCAAGGCGGUGACGGGUAGCCGGCCUGGGAGGGUGGGCGGUCACGCAGGGACUGAGACACGGCCCAGACUCCUACGGGAGGCAGCAGGGGGGAAUAUUGCACAAUGGGCGCAAGCCUGAUGCAGCGACGCCGCGUGAGGGAUGGAGUCCUUCGGGUUGUGAACCUCUUUCGCCAGUGAAGCAGGCCUGCCUCGUUUGUGGGUGGGUUGACGGUAGCUGGAUAAGAAGCGCCGGCUAACUACGUG